UUUAAUAGCGCAGUGUAUGUG
rnacentral:misc_RNA from 1 species